rnacentral:lncRNA from 1 species
GGUCUUCAGGAGAAGCGUAUUAUAUUGCGUUACGGUAAUCAACGGUUCAGGCAAGUUUUUCAAGUUCUUUUUACUUAAACUCUUUUAAGAGUGGUUUCAGACAGAUAUGCUUAUGAAUUGUACUCUGUACAUAUUGCAUGUAUUCAUCAGGUAUGAAAGGCUGAUCACCUUCAUUACCAGUCAGUUCAGAUAUAAUUGUUAUGUUCAUUUUCAAUGUUCAUUCAGCUUUGAAAUUUUGUUCAUGCUAAUUCACAACUACAUUGUGAAGGAUAGCCAGCUUAUUAUUCAAACUCUUUCAAUCAUGAUAUAUCUUUACCUUGUUUUUUUUAAACUUGCUGGGCAACUUUCAUGCUCACCCUUGCUAUAUCAUGAUAAAACAUUGCAGAUAAGGCGAAUACGGCCAGAUACAGAAAAAGGAUAAUGCCAAGUUCAGCUUGGGAUAGAAUGUGCAGCUAGAUUGUAAUGGUAUAGUUUGUAAUAGUAUAGUUUAUGAUUUGUGUAUUAGUUAAGGUUACUCGAUUUUGGGGAAUAGUGUGUAAAAUGUAAUGUAUAAACAAUUUAUGUUUAUAUCUUCCGCAACAGUUGUAGAAAUAGCGAACCGGAUCCGCGGCGAUUCGGGACCCGGAUUCGGGGCUGCUACAAAAACCACUGCUAUUAGAGAGUCAAAGAAUCUUCAUGAGAUGACAGUUCAACAACUAUAUGGCAAUCUUCUGACAUACGAACUGGAGCUGACUCAACAAGCUGAAACCCUAUCAGAAGGAAGAAAGAAGGAUAAGGGUGUUGGUCUCAAAGCAACUGAAAGUGCAUCCAAGGCCAACACUGAGAUUGACUCUGACUAUGAUGAAG